rnacentral:rRNA from 1 species
GACAGAGGGUGCUAGCGUUGUUCGGAAUUACUGGGCGUAAAGCGCACGUAGGCGGCUUUGUAAGUUAGAGGUGAAAGCCCAGGGCUCAACCCUGGAAUUGCCUUUAAGACUGCAUCGCUAGAAUUGUGGAGAGGUAAGUGGAAUUCCGAGUGUAGAGGUGAAAUUCGUAGAUAUUCGGAAGAACACCAGUGGCGAAGGCGACUUACUGGACACAUAUUGACGCUGAGGUGCGAAAGCGUGGGGAGCAAACAGG